rnacentral:tRNA from 1 species
AGUAAAAUGACUGAUAAAAGUGAUAAAUUGUAAAUUUAUAGAUGAAUUUAAAUUCUUUUACUA